rnacentral:rRNA from 3 species
UUUCCGUAGGUGAACUUGCGGAAGGAUCAUUG